rnacentral:rRNA from 1 species
GACAGAGGGUGCAAACGUUGUUCGGAUUUACUGGGCGUAAAGCGUGUGUAGGCGGCUUCGUAAGUUGGAUGUGAAAUCCCACGGCUCAACCGUGGACGUGCAUCCAAAACUACGUCGCUGGAGUCUCGGAGAGGAAGGUGGAAUGCUUGGUGUAGAGGUGAAAUUCGUAGAUAUUCGCAAGAACACCGGAGGCGAAGGCGGCUUGCUGGGCGUGAUCUGACGCUGAGGCGCGAAAGCGUGGGGAGCGAACAGG